rnacentral:rRNA from 1 species
UACGUAGGGUGCAAGCGUUAUCCGGAAUUAUUGGGCGUAAAGAGCUCGUAGGCGGCUCGUCGCGUCGACCGUGAAAACCCGCGGCUUAACUGCGGGCUUGCGGUUGAUACGGGCGGGCUAGAGUUCGGUAGGGGAGACUGGAAUUCCUGGUGUAGCGGUGAAAUGCGCAGAUAUCAGGAGGAACACCGGUGGCGAAGGCGGGUCUCUGGGCCGAUACUGACGCUGAGGCGCGAAAGCUAGGGGAGCGAACAGG